rnacentral:rRNA from 1 species
UACGUAGGGUGCGAGCGUUAAUCGGAAUUACUGGGCGUAAAGCGUGCGCAGGCGGUGAUGUAAGACAGAUGUGAAAUCCCCGGGCUCAACCUGGGAACUGCAUUUGUGACUGCAUCGCUGGAGUGCGGCAGAGGGGGAUGGAAUUCCGCGUGUAGCAGUGAAAUGCGUAGAUAUGCGGAGGAACACCGAUGGCGAAGGCAAUCCCCUGGGCCUGCACUGACGCUCAUGCACGAAAGCGUGGGGAGCAAACGGG